GACGAACGCUGGCGGCGUGCCUAACACAUGCAAGUCGAACGGAAAGGCCCUGCUUUUGUGGGGUGCUCGAGUGGCGAACGGGUGAGUAACACGUGAGUAACCUGCCCUUGACUUUGGGAUAACCUCAGGAAACUGGGGCUAAUACCGGAUAGGAGAUCUUGCUGCAUGGUGGGGGUUGGAAAGUUUCGGUGGUUGGGGAUGGACUAGCGGCUUAUCAGCUUGUUGGUGGGGUAGUGGCUUAGCAAGGCUUUGACGGGUAGCCGGCCUGGGAGGGUAGCCGGCCACAUUAGGACUGAGAUACGACCCAGACUCCAACGGUAGGCAGCGGUGGGGAGUAUUACACAAGAGGCGGGAGCCUGAUGCAACAACGCCGCGUUCGGGAAGACGUCCUUCUGGUUGGGAACCGCUGUCGCCUUUGACGAAGCGUUAAUGACGGUAAUGGGUAAAGAAGCACCGGCUAACUACGUG
rnacentral:rRNA from 1 species